GCUCAGAAACUUCAAUGAAGUUGACGGGGGCCCGCACAAGCGGUGGAGUAUGUGGUUUAAUUCGAUGCAACGCGAAGAACCUUACCUGGUCUUGACAUCCCGGAGACCCUUAGGAAACUAGGGGUGCUUCCAUCUGGAAGAAUCUGGAGACAGGUGCUGCAUGGCUGUCGUCAGCUCGUGUCGUGAGAUGUUGGGUUAAGUCCCGCAACGAGCGCAACCCUUGCCUUUAGUUGCCAGCAGUUCGGCUGGGCACUCUAAAGGGACUGCCGGUGUUAAACCGGAGGAAGGUGGGGAUGACGUCAAGUCCUCAUGGCCUUUAUGACCAGGGCUACACACGUACUACAAUGGCCGAUACAAAGGGCAGCGACACUGCGAGGUGAAGCCAAUCCCGUAAAAUCGGUCUCAGUCCGGAUUGGAGUCUGCAACUCGACUGCAUGAAGCCGGAAUCGCUAGUAAUCGCAGAUCAGCCAAGCUGCGGUGAAUACGUUCCCGGGCCUU
rnacentral:rRNA from 1 species